GUUUUCUUUCUUCUUCU
rnacentral:sRNA from 1 species